GGCAACGUGGCGGAGUGGUUAACGCGUCAGACUUGAAUUCUUCAAUUGUAUCUGAUCCCAUAUGGGUCGUAAGUUCGAAUCUUGCCGUUGUCG